rnacentral:lncRNA from 1 species
GACCCCGGGGACCGGAAACAGGGCGGCGGGCGGGGAGCAGGCGAGCGAGCCAGGCUCAACUCCGAAUGGAUUGGAUUGCGAGUCUGCACGUGAGAAAACCGUUUGGCUUGGCUUGGACCCCUGCCGCCCCCCACCUCCUCCACACACACCCAGUCCAGGGGUCCCCUUUAUCACCCUUUGCUUGCAACUCCAAAAGAAGUUGCCCACCUCCUGAGUCACAACACAAGGUCGAAUAAUUCCUCUAGAUGAAAGAUCAGUUUCAUUUCAAAACGAGAAUAGGUUCCUUUUUUUAUUUUCUCCACAUGGUACAAAAUAAACAGAAUUUGCUUUAAAAAAAAUCAUUAGCUGUGGCCAAAUUCGAAUUCCUUCUACAGCCUGUGUGUUCAAGGGCAGAAACAUUGUAUCUCUUCGGGCAUCUGGGCCGCCAAGCUGAGCGGGGGGAGGGGGGAGCGGCUGUGAAAGUUGAGGAAAUUGACAGACUGAGAGGUGAAUGGGGGGACAGGCACCAGGUCCUGGCUGGAGGGAAUUGGAAAACAAAAGUGCAUCCUUCUCACCCUGC